rnacentral:rRNA from 1 species
GACGAACGCGGGCGGCGUGCCUAAUACAUGCAAGUAGAACGCUGAAGGAGGAGCUUGCUUCUCUGGAUGAGUUGCGAACGGGUGAGUAACGCGUAGGUAACCUGCCUGGUAGCGGGGGAUAACUAUUGGAAACGAUAGCUAAUACCGCAUAAUAGCAGUUGUUGCAUGACAACUGUUUGAAAGGUGCAAUUGCAUCACUACCAGAUGGACCUGCGUUGUAUUAGCUAGUUGGUGGGGUAACGGCUCACCAAGGCGACGAUACAUAGCCGACCUGAGAGGGUGAUCGGCCGCACUGGGACUGAGACACGGCCCAGACUCCUACGGGAGGCAGCAGUAGGGAAUCUUCGGCAAUGGACGGAAGUCUGACCGAGCAACGCCGCGUGAGUGAAGAAGGUUUUCGGAUCGUAAAGCUCUGUUGUAAGAGAAGAACGACGUGUGAGAGUGGAAAGUUCAC